rnacentral:rRNA from 1 species
GAAUGGGUGCAAGCGUUAUCCGGAAUUAUUGGGCGUAAAGCGUCCGCAGGCGGCGCAUUAAGUUGGGGCGUUUAAAGCCUCCAGCUCAACUGGAGUUUAGUGCCCGAAACUGGUGUGCUAGAGACUUGGAGAGGUUAGUGGAAUUCAGUGUGUAGGGGUAAAAUCCGUAGAUACACUGAGGAACACCAAAAGCGAAGGCAGCUAACUGGCCAAGUUCUGACGCUCAGGGACGAAAGCGUGGGGAGCGAACGGGAUUAGAUACCCCGGUAGUCCACGCCGUAAACGAUGAAUACUAGCUGUUGGUCCUGCUCGACCGGGACCAGUGGCGUCGCUAACGCAUUAAGUAUUCCGCCGGGGGAGUACGGCCGCAGGGCUAA